AGACUUGUUUCUUGUUACACUACCUGUCUGAUGUGUCACUUUUUGCUAAUGAGCCCAGUGGGACUACUUGGGGAUUGCCACAUCUGUCCAAUAUAGACAAAAAAAGGGGUGCUGUAAGCAGAUGAUGGACCAUAUGGUGUUAGUAAAGAAUCAAGUGAAUGAACUGUUAUAAGGUGGUGUGCUUGAGAUGAAUGUACUGUAUUCCGUAAUUUCUACUAUGUGCAAAGACAUUUUGGAAGAGAAAAUAUACAAUAAAUGAAGAACAUCUGGGCUCUGAUUUUGCUGCUAAUGUUUCAGCUCUAUGACUCCUACAACAUCCAAUGUCAGCAUUGCCCCUUAGAGACAAUCUCUUCCAAAGCCAUCUGCUAAUGCAGGUGAUACCUAUUGCACCUUAGAGAAAACACUUCCUCAGUACUCAAACCUCUCCGCAUUCACACUGCCUAACUGAUAUUGAAUUGCUACCACCCAUCAUUAGUCCAAGAAGUUGGAUCCAUGAGUUCAACCAAGUUGUGUUCA